GCUGAUAGGGCUGCAAUGGCAGGGCAYUUUGAUAUAGUGUUAUUUAAAGUAAUYACUUUCGUCAGUA
rnacentral:tRNA from 1 species